AGUGAACGCUGGCGGUAGGCCUAACACAUGCAAGUCGAACGGCAGCACAGUAAGAGCUUGCUCUUACGGGUGGCGAGUGGCGGACGGGUGAGGAAUACAUCGGAAUCUACUUUUUCGUGGGGGAUAACGUAGGGAAACUUACGCAAAUACCGAAUACGACCUACGGGUGAAAGAAGGGGAUCUUCGGACCUUGCGCGAUUGAUUGAGCCGAUGUCGGAUUAGCUAGUUGGCGGGGUAAAGGCCCACCAAGGCGACGAUCCGUAGCUGGUCUGAGAGGAUGAUCAGCCACACUGGAACUGAGACACGGUCCAGACUCCUACGGGAGGCAGCAGUGGGGAAUAUUGGACAAUGGGCGCAAGCCUGAUCCAGCCAUACCGCGUGGGUGAAGAAGGCCUUCGGGUUGUAAAGCCCUUUUGUUGGGAAAGAAAAGCAGCAGGUUAAUACCCCGCUGUUCUGACGGUACCCAAAGAAUAAGCACCGGCUAACUUCGUG
rnacentral:rRNA from 1 species